GUACUCACUUUAGCAGCACAUAAACUAAAAUUACAACAAUACAGAGAAGAUUAGCAUGUCCCUGUGCAAGGAUGACAUACAAAUUUGUGAAGCCAUUCAGAUUUUU
ensembl:snRNA U6 U6 spliceosomal RNA